UCUAGAAUUGAUAUUGUUCCAUUCAGUCCUUAAAAUAUGAAUUCAGGGAGAAUAUAAUGUCUAUUUUCUCCUUAGUGGUUCUAAAAGUGAUCUUGGUGGGGGUGGGAGUGGGGAAGGUGAUGUUUAAACAAGACUCAUGAACAACUUGCUACAGGAAAAUUCUGAAUCUGUGUUUACAUCUGUUAAUGUGUACCCUAUCACAAGUUCACAUGACAGCAAUGCACUGCAGGAAAUGGGGAUCAAACCACAAAAGCAGCAGCCUCGGGAAUGAGCAGGCUUUGGUAAGAACAAUGGAAAAAUCAAGUGUCUUGACCUGAUGUCCUUUCAACCAGCUCCCAGAUUUUUCAGGAGGUGCAUGAUCCAACUUGGGGGAUUACUCAAACUCUUUGCUUUUUCCAUCUCUUGGUUUGCCUGCUUUGGGAGUCAUUCCACCGAUCUCUGGUACCUUUACCCAAGCGUGAGCGAGUGGAAGGAAAAGAGAUGACAGUUGAAUACCUUCAUUUCGGAGUCUCAUAUUAGUCAGCAUCAUCACGGGAAACUGUUCGCUUUUCUGGAUAGUUUGGAACCACGAGAACAGGUUUUUUUUUUUCCCCCUCAGGCCCACCCAACAGCUGGUAUGCAUUACUGGGAUUUGCCUUCUAUCUUUAAGAGGCAGGAAAACUGAGAGGCCAAAUUCAAGUCUGGCUUCCAGGAUGGCCCUUUGGUCUCACACGUAUCACUGGCUAAAGUCUUGUGGAACACAGCAGAAGAUGUGGCGAUGAGAUGGAGCGUGUACGGAGCACAGAGUGUGAGAAGAUUGGUUCUACUUUAAAUGCUUUUAGUUGAGCUAUUUUGGGUUCUGUCAUUUCUCUCCCUGGAUAUUCAAGGACCAUCCUCCUGAUUUUUCCUAUCCCCCCCCUCCCCGCCCAGGUUAUAACUGUUUAAACAUGUACAUAUAUAAAUGCACGGAAAGCCUAACAUCCACACUGCAAACUUGAACUAGAUGCCAUGAUUUUCCUGCCUUUUCUAGGGAAGGGGCUUUGGAGUCUCAGUUCUGCAUACAUGGUUGAGAAACUGAACUUUUGCCUUCUGUUGGUCUUUUAAGUUUUUACCUUUUGUAGCUGCAGUUUUCUCAUUGCUGUAGGUUUUUUUUAAAAUAAUUUAUGCAAGUGUUUGGUUUCCAUGUUUACAAUUUAUACAGCUUUCCUAGCAGUUUAAAUGGAAAUGUCAAUAAAUACUAUGAAUUGGUGUCAAA